AUUGAACGCUGGCGGCAUGCCUUACACAUGCAAGUCGAACGGCAGCACGGGGGCAACCCUGGUGGCGAGUGGCGAACGGGUGAGUAAUACAUCGGAACGUGUCCUUUCGUGGGGGAUAACCAGUCGAAAGACUGGCUAAUACCGCAUGAGAUCUCACGAUGAAAGCGAGGGACCGCAAGGCCUCGCGCGAUUGGAGCGGCCGAUGUCGGAUUAGCUAGUUGGCGGGGUAAAAGCCCACCAAGGCGACGAUCCGUAGCUGGUUUGAGAGAACGACCAGCCACACUGGGACGGAGACACGGCCCAGACUCCUACGGGAGGCAGCAGUGGGGAAUGUUGGACAAUGGGGGCAACCCUGAUCCAGCCAUGCCGCGUGUGUGAAGAAGGCCUUCGGGUUGUAAAGCACUUUCGGACGGAACGAAAUCGCCCGUGUUAACAGCGCGGGUGGAUGACGGUACCGUAAGAAGAAGCACCGGCUAACUACGUGCCAGCCGCCGCGGUAA
rnacentral:rRNA from 1 species